GCCAGCAUAGCCUAGUGGUUUGUGUGUUGGGCUAGGACUCUGGUGACCAGGGUUUGAAUCCCUGCUUAGCCA